rnacentral:lncRNA from 1 species
CAUCAUAAGUUAUACAAUAUUGCUUCAAAUGAUAUAAGUAAUGUAAAUAAUGCAUCAACAAAUAUGCCCAGAUAAAAAUUAAAAACUAUUAAAGUAAUUCUUUUGGCUGAAACAGUUCUCUCUGAAAAAAUUAUACUGGUCUUAGAACCAUGUUAACAAACCGACAGAAGACUUGUAGAUUUCCAACACAUUAUCUUUGCAAUUUUUCAUAAAUAUUAUUAGAAGUAAAUUGGUAAGAAUUUUUUCCAAUUUUUCUCUUAUGAAUAUGGUUAUUGUUGAACCUCAAGAUUUCUUUUAUUGGUUUCCAUUAGUAACACACAGUUACUAAAGCAUCAAACCUGAUAAUUACAUAUUUUUAAGAAAUACUGGCAAAUGGGAGAGUUAUUUAAAUUAAACCUUUGUAAGAUUAUUAAUGGUUUUGCCUUUGGUAUAUGUGUUGGUGACAUAUUUAGCGUAUGGAAAGAGAUUUAAAACUAUGAAAUGAAUCAUAAAAUCUACACACAUACGUGGAAGAUCAAUGAUUACAUACCUAGGAAUAUGCAAAUAAUUGAAUGAUUUUAGUGUUAUAUGAUCCUAAGAGUAUACUACCAAUAACUAUUAACUUUGUAAAACAUUGCCUCUAAUUCUAGGCCAAAUAAAUUUAGAAAUUUUAUUCAUAUAAAUAUCUCAAAAUGAAAAGCUUCUGCCUUAUCUGUUUUAUAAACACAAUUAUUUAUAUUUCAUCACAACUCAAAUUAUCAUCACAAAUUUUCUGUCACAACUUAGCAUCUUGCUUUAUUUUCCUACCUUUGUAGUUCUUUAUGGGUAGACUAUACAGAAGUCAGAAUUAUUUGGGGAAAUAAAACAUAACAUAGAAAACACUCUCCAUACUUUUGAAGAAGUGUUUCUGCACUAACCGGUGUAAUCUGAUGACUGACAAUUUUAAUUUUCUUUAGUACAUCUGUGUGUUGCUAAUGAAUUAAGCACUCUUUAUAUCAGACCCACCCUGAAAAUGUGAACUUGAAGAGAAUUCCUAUUUAUUUGUGUGGAAGCAAAUAAGAACGCUAUGCUAAUGAGUCAAUGCUAUCUUCUUUCAUCAUUCAAAUAUAGGGGAAAAAAACAAAUUACCUGAACAUGAUUUCACUUUUGAUAGAUUAAACUGAUGGUAAUUUUCUUGGUGAUGCCUUUUCCUUAACUGUGAUGAGGAUGGCUUGGCCCCAGUGUAGAUUUGCAUGUCAGGUGCCAUCCAGAUAUGAGAGAGGUAAUGCAAACUAAAUAAAGUAGUCAACAUUUGUAUAGAAGACCCUGACCAAUUAGGGUAACUUUUAGAAAUAUAUGAUGCAUUUCUAUCUAGUGGUGGAUUAAAUCUUGUCUGGAAUUAUCCUCCCCUCACCCUCCUACUCCCUUGGACGCAGCUAUGAGACUUUCUACUUCCAAUCCAACUCUUUUUUGUCCAACAAAAUUUUAAUAAAAAUGAUACAAGUAGAGAUUUGAAAAGUUACUUCUUCAUUGAUGUCCCUGUCUCGAAAAUAUACUAUUACAAUGAGGAGAAUGCACCUAGCAAACCGAUUUACAGAAGGUAGAAAGACAAACACAGUGAAGCUCAAAAUACACCAGGCUAUCUCCAGAUGCAUGAGAUCAAACAUCUGGAAUAACCACAGCCUCCCAUCUGAGUCCAGCCAAAUCUGUUAACCUUCAGUUUAUCCCCAGACUGAGAAAGUAAACACCGUUUAACUCAUGGAGUUUUGGGAUAACAUUUUAGGAGUUCCCAUCAUAGCUCACCGGUAUGUAUGUAUGUAUUUGUUGUGCCUGUAUGUGUGUGUGUCUGUGUGUGUGUGUGUGUGUGUGUGUGUGUGUGUGCGAGAGAGAGAGAGAGAGAGAGAGAGAUUAUACUGGCAUUGAAUUAGAGGUAAUUUGAGAGAUUAUAGAACAAAAAACAUGGAAGAGGAAUAUAGCAUAAUUUAUACGUAAACUACCAUAAAAUCAUUAAACAUAUUUAACCUCAGGUACUGUACGUAGAGGAACAUGUUAGGAAGGCCAACAUACCCUUGAGAAGAGGAAGCAAGAAUCAAUCAACAAAAAGAGGGGACAAAUAUAGGACAAUCUUGGAGAUAAUACUUAAUCGAAAAUGAUUUUUUUGACAUUUAAAAACAACAUGUAAUGUCACUUUAAAUCAAUGAAGAGUAUCUCUGUAACAUUCAUGAUUGCAAGGAAAAUCUUUUUGGAUGGAGUGAUUAUAUGAUAAGAUAAAUGGAACAUAUAUUUGAAAAUAGAUGCAAAAAAACAGGCUAAAGUAUCUCAUUUUCUUCUUAUGUAGCUUUCUGAAUAUCAGCAUUCUCAUCCAUAAUACAACAAUUCCUUAACAUAUCUGUUGUGAAGACUGAGCUAUACAUAUGAGUUUUCUCAGUAAACAGAAGUCACUGCUAUUAUUACUCCUGAGACUAUACUUAGUCCACAAAAAAUCUUCAAUAAAUAGUAGCUAUGGUUAUUAUUGUUAUUACAGAAGAGAAAAUGUAAUAUUUUGUGGAUCUAUUAAAUAGAAAUUAAGAAAAAUAGCCAUAGCAAUAAUAGUUCUGCAGAUGUAAAUUAUGCAUUUGAGUUUGAGAGAUGACUGAUGCAGAAGUCAAGCUGAAUGGAACAAACAAGAAGUCAAGCAAGACUUUUCUACAACAGUAUACUUGCUCUAAUUCCCAACAAAAACAAGCAUAGUCUAAAAAGAAAAAAUUAUGCUGUAUUAGAAAACAAUUCAGAUUUAUGAUGGAGAAAUGAAAUGAGAGCAGUAAGACAAGAUAAGGAAUAAAAUUAUUCAUCCUAUUAUUUUAAAUAACUCCUGAUUGUUUUCUCUAAUAACACAGGGAAGUAUGAGGGACAGAAUCAUACUUUCCUAAUGCUCACUUAUUAAUUGUGCUGUACCUGUUAACUACGGAUCAAAUCGUACGGGGUUUAUAUCCACAUGUGGACUGGACCCUUUUAAAAAAAUUGUAUUAUUUUGAAAACUCCUGAAUUAAGAGAAUUCCUCACUGAUAUGCACAGAUAUUUACUACAGAUGAUACAUUAAUCAUACCUGCCAUUUAGCAUUCAUUAUAAGCUAGGAACUGGGAUAAAUCUUUGCAUACAUUAUGUAGUUUACUUCCCAUAAACUCUACAUUUUACACAGAAAGAAAGUGAGGUUUCCAAACAGUAUGUAACUUGUUUAAUAUCACAAGACUAGUAAGGAGAGGAGGUAGGAAUUGAGAAUCAGAUUUGUAUCCUUCUAAAGCCUGUGCUCUUAAAUACCUGCAUUUAGAGUGUUUCUCAAAGUGAAGAAAUUUGAACAUAAACAGCAUCUACUCCAUUCUUCAUUCUUGUACCUCUUGGAUUUAGUUAUUUUACAAAUUCACUUUAAAAUGGUAUGAAUGAGAACAAUGUAUGUAUGCUCAAAAAAAGUUGAACGGGUAAAGGAUUUCAUGUAAUGAUGUGUCCUUGGACAAUUAUGAAUUUUAAAUAUGCCUCUCAGCAGUAUCCUGAUCUGAUCUAUCACCUGUUCUUUGUUGGAACACUUUGCCCUUUUUUGUUAUACUUUUAUUUUUAAAAAUUUAUUUCAAUUAAUGUAUCAUCUCUUUUUUCACUAGGGCCAAUGUACUCUGAUUAUACAGAUACAUUCCUCUCUUUUAAACUUUUUCAGAGGCUUGGUAAUUUUUCUUUUUUUGCUCAAAUGUAUUAAUGAUAGUUUAAUGUGUCUGAGAUGGACUAUGUCAAAAUUUUAUAGAUUGCUGCCCAGUUCUUUCCAUUCAAAAUAAA